rnacentral:rRNA from 1 species
UACGUAGGGCGCAAGCGUUGUCCGGAAUUAUUGGGCGUAAAGAGCUCGUAGGCGGCCUGUUACGUCUGCUGUGAAAUCCCGGGGCUUAACCCCGGGCGUGCAGUGGAUACGGGCAGGCUGGAGGCAGGCAGGGGAGAACGGAAUUCCCGGUGUAGCGGUGAAAUGCGCAGAUAUCGGGAGGAACACCGGUGGCGAAGGCGGUCUGCUGGGCCAAGACUGACGCUGAGGCGCGACAGCGUGGGGAGCAAACAGG